AAGCGCUUGAUAUCGUUUGUUUAAUCACGAACUUUUAAUCAGUAGGUCAUGGGUUCGAAUCCCAUCGCGCUCACCA
rnacentral:tRNA from 1 species